GAUGAACGCUGGCGGCGUGCUUAACACAUGCAAGUCGAACGAAGCAACUUAUUACGAUCCCUUCGGGGUGACGAUUUGUUGACUGAGUGGCGGACGGGUGAGUAACGCGUGGGUAACCUACCUUGUACAGGGGGACAACAGUUGGAAACGACUGCUAAUACCGCAUAAGCGCACAGCUUCGCAUGAAGCAGUGUGAAAAGUUUUUUCGGUACAAGAUGGACCCGCGUCUGAUUAGCUAGUUGGUGAGGUAACGGCUCACCAAGGCGACGAUCAGUAGCCGACCUGAGAGGGUGACCGGCCACAUUGGGACUGAGACACGGCCCAAACUCCUACGGGAGGCAGCAGUGGGGAAUAUUGCACAAUGGGCGAAAGCCUGAUGCAGCGACGCCGCGUGAGCGAAGAAGUAUUUCGGUAUGUAAAGCUCUAUCAGCAGGAAGAUAAUGACGUA
rnacentral:rRNA from 1 species